AUUGAACGCUGGCGGCAGGCCUAACACAUGCAAGUCGAGCGGAUGAAGGGAGCUUGCUCCUGGAUUCAGCGGCGGACGGGUGAGUAAUGCCUAGGAAUCUGCCUGGUAGUGGGGGAUAACGUCCGGAAACGGGCGCUAAUACCGCAUACGUCCUGAGGGAGAAAGUGGGGGAUCUUCGGACCUCACGCUAUCAGAUGAGCCUAGGUCGGAUUAGCUAGUUGGUGGGGUAAAGGCCUACCAAGGCGACGAUCCGUAACUGGUCGGAGAGGAUGAUCAGUCACACUGGAACUGAGACACGGUCCAGACUCCUGCGGGAGGCAGCAGUGGGGAAUAUUGGACAGUGGGCGAAAGCCUGAUCCAGCCAGGCCGCGUGUGUGAAGAAGGUCUUCGGAUUGUAAAGCACUUUAAGUUGGGGGGAAGGGCAGUAAGUUAAUACCUUGCUGUUUUGACGUUACCAACAGAAUAAGCACCGGCUAACUUCGUG
rnacentral:rRNA from 1 species